UACGGAGGGUGCAAGCGUUAUCCGGAUUUACUGGGUUUAAAGGGUGCGUAGGUGGGUUGGUAGGUCAGUGGUGAAAUCUUCGAGCUUAACUCGGAAACUGCCAUUGAUACUAUCAAUCUUGAAUUAUCUGGAGGUAAGCGGAAUAUGUCAUGUAGCGGUGAAAUGCUUAGAUAUGACAUAGAACACCCAUUGCGAAGGCAGCUUACUACGGAUAUAUUGACACUGAGGCACGAAAGCGUGGGGAUCAAACAGG
rnacentral:rRNA from 1 species